rnacentral:lncRNA from 1 species
CACAGGAAUUUUUUUUUUUUUUGAAGGCACCCAGCAUCUCCAGUUAGCAGUACUGACUUUUUUCUUUUCCCCCCCCAACAAAGGCACACUACGUCAACACUCUUGGCCGGGAUCUGGACGCAGAAGACUCCUGUUUCAAGAAAAUACAAUCGUCUCUCAAAGUCUGUAAUUUAUAUGCAUUUUUAACUCACUAGGUAUUGAAAACCACCCAAGUGUCCCACAACAUGGGGUAAAAUAUAAUCACUGAGUGUAAUAUUAUACAUCCCUUAAAAAUGUUAUUGGAAAAUGUUUUAUGAUCUGUAAGACAAAAUACCCUCUCCCACCAUUUCUUUCUCCCUGCUGCUCCCCCAUACCCACGCAUCUUUGUUCCAACUGGCAUGUUCAACUUGGUUUUCCCGCCAAAUGAGUCAGUUAUGAUGGGAACGUCAAUUGAUUUGAACAGAUGUGUGUCAGUGUUACUUGGGAAACUAGAUGCCAAUAACCAGGGCCACACAAAAAGGCAGUGGUUGCAACUCCGUACAAAUUUAUGCGGGCAUGCAGACAAGGACUAAAGUGGAACCCCAAACAGG